AUGCUCAUGCCCGGUACAAGUUUAGGUCACCCUCCCUGUUUACUGAACUCUUUGACUGGUAGCCAAGUCACACAUCUGGAAGCUACGGCAGAUGCUCAGCAGCUGUUGUCCAAGUUGCAUGGGCAGGAAGGAGAUUUACUGCCUUGCUCGGGCUGCCCAACCCCCUGCUUCAUUUGUAUGGCGAUGCUCAGAGCACAGCGCAGCUACGCAGUUUUCCUGUUAAUUCAUCAGGCAUUUGCCUCUUUUAUCCAUGGUUUUGGGCAAAACGUUCCUGAAACAGCCAUGCCCUCCCACCAUCUCCAGGAAGCUGGUUGGACAACUGUGAAGUUAAUGAAUAUCGACUGUCAGUUACUGCCCAGUGGAACAACAGCAGCUCCCAGCAGUCACAUCCAAGGCUGGCUUCUAUUCAUUUUUCCACACCUGCCAUCGGAAGAGAUAAGGAGAUUUAAAAAGUCUCACUGA
rnacentral:lncRNA from 1 species